AAUAAGCCUGCAGGCAGCCACGGCGGGCUGCCUCAGAAAACUAACCAUUUGUCCUACCUUAAAACUCGUUUUGCAUUUUCUGCCUCCUUUUUUGUAUUUUCGACCCUCCGUUUAUUUUCUUUCCUUUUCUGAAAACCCGAUUUGUGUCCAGACAUUUUGUUCUGCUACCAACGAACUAACUCGUCAGGUCUCGUCUCUCGAGCCCGCGAUGAUUCCCGUGGGAAGGGCAACAACUGAUACAUUUUUACAAACAGCCAAUAGGGAGGUUGCAACGUUCAGGCUCUUCUUUGCUCAGACACUCAGUAAUGGAGACGUGAUAGUAGUCCACCUUCCCGCUCUCUCCAUUCAGUCAGCGAAUGUCACACAGGAAGUGAACCCCAGCGGGUCAUAGAAACUUGUGCAGGAGAAGAAUGGCUUUUUUAUUUGUAGGCUACAGAAACUUUGAGGAACGAAAUAAAAACCGGUAUUAACCGGUUACCAUUAUUUUUAAUAAGCGUUUCUGUUCCGGAACAUAAAAAAUAAUAAAGUUUCUGGUUUCGUUUCUGUUCCAUGUGAAAUAGAAAAAGUUCCCGGUUUUCGUUCCUUGAACCGGUUCAAAGCCCUGGUUUGUACAGACGAAUUUGACAUCGUAUCUCGCUCACGAAGCUCCGAUACCGUUCCGUUUUGCAAACAUGACGAUCGCGUUGUUAAUGCAAGGUGUUACGGCCAGGAAAUCUUCACUCAGGACUCGGGCCUGAAGGACCUCAUGCGGCUUUCAGGGUUCAUCAUGACUCAUUCUGACUGAUUUUUUUUUUUCUUUCUCGCACUUGGUGAACCAGCUGUUUUACAUGUGCUGUAACUGUGUCACCGUGUGUGUGUGUGUGUGUGUGUGUGUGUGUGUGUGUGUGUGUGUAGGAGUCCCUGGAUUAUAUUCAUCACAUUUAUUGUUUACACAAUGCUGCAUGUUAAACGGGAUGGCGAUGGCGGUGUGGAAACGCCAAGCAGCAUGCCGUAAUCAGAUGUUCAGAGUUGUUGGACUGGGAUACGGCCUUAAAUGGCGGGGUCGAUGGUGUUGCUCACUCAGGCCUUCUUCCUGGGGAACAUCAGCACUCGCUGAUUACUUCCCCAGCUGUAGGAAGGAGUGAGUUGGAUCAGGGAAGGAGUGAGAAAUGGGGGAUUUUUCACGGAGCGAAUGGAAAAACGUGGAAAACGUGCUCACACAGGCAGGCACGGAUCCGAGUCAAGGGUGAGCACGGCACUGAAACUCGAUCUGGAAGAGGAGAUCUAUCCAAAAAGGUUGGAGAGAGAGAAGCAGAUGGUGUGCAAGUGGUUGUGUUGUGGUGUGUGUUUUUUUUUUUUUUUUUUUUUUAAUAUAAACACACGCAAAAGGAAAAAAGUGCCUUCGUUACUGUUGCUCCGAACCAAAAAGGCUUUGCGUUUGAGUGCGCGUCCUUUCCUUUCUCUCAGCUCACCACACCUUCUGUUAUUCGAGUAUUGCUUUGCAUGUGCGGAAUCUGGCUCCGAUGUGAAUUUCUGUGUCCGACUUCUUCUUUCCUGUUGUUCGGUUCGACACUGCGAUUAGAUACAUAUCUGAAAAUUUGGCUCGUUCGUUCACUCAUUUGCAUGGUAUGACGUAAGUGACCUUUUUUUUUUUUACAGCUCCAUCACUCACCAUGGUUAGCUCUUUUUUUUUUUUUAAAGUGGCUGCGCUUGUAUUCAGGAUGUACAGAUUAAUUUAUAAAUCGGGAGAGUUAGACGGUUUGUUGUUCAUGUUUUUUUUUUUUUUUAAUUGUUAAAGAAUCGCUUCAGUCUGAUCUUUGAAAGGAUAUUUAAUGCUGUAGUGUUGAGAUUUUUGUGUGUUUUUUUUUUUAAGAAUCUGUCUAAUCUACUAACGUGAACGUUAUCAGUCUGUUCUAAGAGACAUGUGGACAAGAAAAGGAGCCUUGUAGCGUAAAGGCACGCCCAGAUCGAUGAGGAUUGGAUUGGAUUUAAGGACAAAGUCUGCAUUCAUUCAUUCAUUCAUUCAUCCAUGCCUCAGUUUGAUUUGCGUGCCAACACACGGAACGAAACGUGAGGAUUGUGAUAAGCCAAACCCGACGAUCCGCAUCUACUUCCUUACAGAUCACUUCACGCAGCGUUGGUCCGGAUCAGAUUGUAGCUCUUGUAUACGAAAUACAAAUACAGCUGCAUGGACAGGAGGCUCUUCUUCUUUUUUUUUUCUGAUUUAUUUCCAACACAAAAAUGUGAUAUAUAUAUUUUUUUUCUUCCUUCCUCUAAAUUAACAUCAUCUUGAUGAACCAUGAGGUUCCUAGCUGAUCUCGAACUCGAACAGUCCUUGUUAAACACUUUGACGCUGAUGACCGGACAGACUCGAAUGAAAAUCGAGCUUUGUGAUGUGAUGUAAAAUCUAAACCUGUAGCGUUUAGAGAAACCGAUUCUUCCUGACCCUGAACCCACGUCGAGAGCCGGUCUGUUCGAGGAGGCGACUGAGAGACGAUGCUGUGAAAAAUAAUUGUACUUACAUGCUCACUAUCUACAUGGACUCGUCUUCAUAUCUAAUAGAAGUUUAUUAGACUGUGCAAAGGAAGUAAUAAAGUACGUAAACCAAA